UCCUAUGAUGAAUAAGAGCUAUAACGCUCGACAUUUAACCCAGCUCGUCGAAAGGCCAAAAAGGCCCUCGUGAGAUAAAAUCCAAAGCUGAUUG
rfam:Trichophyton interdigitale MR816 cont1.19, whole genome shotgun sequence.